UGCAGUCGAACGGCAGCACGGGAGCAAUCCUGGUGGCGAGUGGCGAACGGGUGAGUAAUACAUCGGAACGUGUCCUGUAGUGGGGGAUAGCCCGGCGAAAGCCGGAUUAAUACCGCAUACGAUCUACGGAAGAAAGCGGGGGAUCCUUCGGGACCUCGCGCUAUAGGGGCGGCCGAUGGCAGAUUAGCUAGUUGGUGGGGUAAAGGCCUACCAAGGCGACGAUCUGUAGCUGGUCUGAGAGGACGACCAGCCACACUGGGACUGAGACACGGCCCAGACUCCUACGGGAGGCAGCAGUGGGGAAUUUUGGACAAUGGGGGAAACCCUGAUCCAGCAAUGCCGCGUGUGUGAAGAAGGCCUUCGGGUUGUAAAGCACUUUUGUCCGGAAAGAAAACCUUUGGGCUAAUACCCUGAGGGGAUGACGGUACCGGAAGAAUAAGCACCGGCUAACUACGUGCCAGCAGCCGCGGUAAUACGUAGGGUGCGAGCGUUAAUCGGAAUUACUGGGCGUAAAGCGUGCGCAGGCGGUUCGUUAAGACAGAUGUGAAAUCCCCGGGCUUAACCUGGGAACUGCAUUUGUGACUGGCGAGCUAGAGUAUGGCAGAGGGGGGUAGAAUUCCACGUGUAGCAGUGAAAUGCGUAGAGAUGUGGAGGAAUACCGAUGGCGAAGGCAGCCCCCU
rnacentral:rRNA from 1 species